rnacentral:pre_miRNA from 1 species
UAAGGUGCAUCUAGUGCAGUUAGUGACAUAGCGUAGCAUCUACUGCCCUAAAUGCUCCUUUUGGC